rnacentral:misc_RNA from 1 species
UCAGUCUGUCGUAACACGCUUCCCCGUCAGUGUGGUGCAGGUGCCUACUGCCGUCGUGUGUCUGGUGAUGUGUGAAGUUUGUGUCACCUGAUAGUUUUUAAGUCUACAAGUUAGGCUGUGACACAUAACUUCUGAAGAACGCUCAAAUCUGACUAUCACCAAGGCUAGUUUUUAUUUUGACAACUUCAACAUCAUGUCAACGCUAAUUGGAUUGAUUUGUUUACUAUUUAUCAGAGCCACACACGUUGACUCACAGUCACUGUGCGAUUCCAGUACUUACCUGGAGGUAAAAGAAGGCCGAGGCAACACGUUUGUCUGUACAGGGCUAGUAGCAACACAAAACGUCUACUGGUGGUGGAGAUCGGAACCUAUAUCUACCUGUGAUCCAAGCUGCAGCAACGACAGGCGCCCUGAAUUCUUCCAGAUCAGCAGAGCUUCACCGACAUCAAGUGACAUCGCAGUUUAUGUCACCGCAUUCCCUGAUUUAAAUUAUUUAGCUACAACUGACCUGUCCUGCCAGCAGACGUCAAGGGUGACUUGUCAGCUGGAUGUAGUAUACCCUGCUGAGAAUGCCACAUGCCAGAUUCAGUUCAGUGGAGACACAUGGGAAGUAACUGGCUCGUGUGCUGUUCCCAAGGCCCGGUCAAGGAGAAACAGAUAUUUGUGUUAUGUAUACCAGACUUCACAGCAACAACUUACUUCUUUGGUGGGAAAUUUUACAAUGAAGACUGAUUCGGGAACUAACUAUGCUUCUGGCAACUGUGAAAUUAAGAUUACUCUUCCUCCAGAAGGAAAGUACAACUACAGUGUCAUCAUUAUACCUGGUGAAGUACGAGUGGUUCCUUCCUUUAAUGGAAGUAACGAAAUCAGACGUCCAUCUAAGCCUCCUCACACAACUGUCCGCAGUAUGUAACAGAGGGUGAGGACAUAGACUGUCUGUGCUACUCCGAUGACCUGGGACUUCCAUCUGGUUCUCUUGUCUGGAGAGGCGCAAGCUCUUCGAGGCUCAAGAUCGACAAAGUAAACAGGUCAUACAGUGGGACAAGCAAUACGUGUAACUUGACGUGGAACAAAAAUGCUGUACAAAGUACACAGUACACAGUAACAGUAAACUAUGCAUCCCGAGUGCUGAAAGUUUCAAGAUUGGUGACAAAGAAGACGCUGUUGUAAAUGUCACAGAAAACACAAAUGUGUCCGUAGUUUGUCAAGCUGAGGGAAGACCACUGCCAACAAUAAGUCUCUUUAGAAAGGGCAACGACAACCUAACUCAGAACCUAUUUGUGGCUAAUAAUAAGUCGGACCUGAAAUAUACUAUAAAUGUUGUAAACUGUGAAGCAGCAUACAACUACUUUUGUAAAUCAGAAAACAGUAUUUCUGCGGACCAAAGAAAUAUACUUCUGAUUGUUUUGUGUUCUCCUAAGAAAACUUCGAACGACUCCUAUUUCACAACGUUUGUGGAUGGCCAAGCCGGUCUGACGUUUAAAAUGAAUGCUUACCCUCCACCCAAUCUGCUAGGAGUAGUUUACAACGGAUCAGCAAAUAAUUUCAUCUCCAGUAAAUCUGAAUAUGAGAACAGUGUGAGGUCUUCUUGUUCAUCUGAUACAUCGUACAGCUCUAUGAUUACUUGCACGGUGACUCUACUAAACCAAACCAUCUACACCCCCUGGGUUUUACACCGUUACUUUCAGCAAUGAUCUUGGAGACAUUUCAUUCGCGUUUGAAAUCAAAGAAAAAUUACUGCCAACAACAAAAGCAAUGGAAAUAACAGUGCCCCGAUUGCUUCCGUGAGCAAUGAUCAUGUCUAUGGUGAGAUACCCUUAAGGGAAAUUAAGAGUCAGCGUUCAUACCAAAACCUUGAAAGCUUAAAUGGUGAGGAGACUACCCCAAGUACAGCAAAGGAAACCGAAGAUCAAGACACAUACCACAUUUACGAAGUUCCCAAGGAGGACGAAAACACCAGUGAUCCAGUUCAGGAGGAUUUCUACGAGAACAAGGGAUUUUCUUGAGAAAUUUCUGUGGUUGUUCCAGAUAUUCCAGAAAGAGCAGUAACCAGGUGUGCGGGGGGGG